CAACCUGCCCACCACUUGGGGAUAACCUUGCGAAAGUAAGACUAAUACCCAAUGACGUCUCUAGAAGACAUCUGAAAGGGAUUAAAGAUUUAUCGGUGAUGGAUGGGGAUGCGUCUGAUUAGCUUGUUGGCGGGGUAACGGCCCACCAAGGCUACGAUCAGUAGGGGUUCUGAGAGGAAGGUCCCCCACAUUGGAACUGAGACACGGUCCAAACUCCUACGGGAGGCAGCAGUGAGGAAUAUUGGUCAAUGGACGAGAGUCUGAACCAGCCAAGUAGCGUGCAGGAUGACGGCCCUAUGGGUUGUAAACUGCUUUUAUAAGGGAAUAAAGUGAGUCUCGUGAGACUUUUUGCAUGUACCUUAUGAAUAAGGACCGGCUAAUUCCGUGCCAGCAGCCGCGGUAAUACGGAAGGUCCGGGCGUUAUCCGGAUUUAUUGGGUUUAAAGGGAGCGUAGGCCGGAGAUUAAGCGUGUUGUGAAAUGUAGAUGCUCAACAUCUGCACUGCAGCGCGAACUGGUUUCCUUGAGUACGCACAAAGUGGGCGGAAUUCGUGGUGUAGCGGUGAAAUGCUUAGAUAUCACGAAGAACUCCGAUUG
rnacentral:rRNA from 1 species